CUUGAUAGAACAGAACACUUCACUUUUCUGUUUGUCUUCAGUGCUUGCUUGCAAAUGCUUAAUAAAUGCCUUAUUCAUUCAUCUCCCACCUUUUAGCCUUUGCGUAGCUGUCUCGAUUCCUGGAAUAUACUCUUUUCAUUUCCAUUGCCUAAAUUGUGGCAAGAUUCAGGCCAUCUGCAACUUCCUCCAGGAAGCAAUUCCUGAUUCCCCUAGUGGUUUGGGGCCCCUGAACCCCCUUCAAAUGAUCAGGUUGGGCUUAAUGAUGUUUGUGGGGUUGGACUAGAUUGGAAUUGGAUAACUGUUGAACCACCCGAGUGCUGCACGAAUACCCAAGAAUUACUGCAAAAUCCAGAGGCCUCCAAUAUGCUGAGUAGAUCUUCCAUGUAGUGGACAUAGAUAAAAUUCACAGGUCCUUCUGAUGUACAAGAGGCAGUACAGCUCAAUGAGAAUUGGAUUCAAGAGCCAGAGGACUUGGGGUCCCAUCCCAGUUCUGCCACUUGAUCAUGUAGAUCUGAUCAAGUGCCUUUCCAUGCUCAGUUUCCUACUCUAUAUAACACUAAUACUUGCCCUACCUAUCUCACAGGAGCUUUGUGAAGAUCAAAGACAAUGAAAUUAGGAAACACUACCCCAGCCUUCCCCAUCAUCACCCUCACCACCUGAUUUCUCUUGUCCCCUCUACUCACUCUUUUGAUCAAUAAUGGGACAGAGAGAGGACCUAGGAUUUCAGUGACAAAAAUGAACUCCCAGAGAGAAAAUUCCCUUUACCCUUGUAAGAUAGCAUCUUCUCAGCACUUGGAAGUAAAGUGACUUAUCCUCCUAGAACAAUCAAGGCUGAGAUGCAGGGGGGUGUGACUAAGAAGGGUUCCACAUUAGAAUUAUUCCUACACCAAAGCCCUUUUCUGAACAUACUGAUUUCUGAAAAUACAAAUAUUUAUAGAAAAUUUAGAGCUCUGCAUGUUACAUGAAAAACUUCAUCUGACCCUAUUAACAAUCAAUUCUCUAAAGCAGGUUAUAGGUGAUAUCUCUCCAUUUUACAGAUGAGUAAACCAAGGGUCAGAGUGUUUAAGUACAUUGUCACAUAAUUAGUAAGUAUCGGAGUAAGGAUAUGAACUCAGAUCUUUCUGAUUUUAAGUCUAAUCUCACUCCAGAACACCAAGAUCAGAGCCAAUGGGAUUGGAGAACAAUGAAUCUUUGCAUUUGUAAUGGGCUGAAAAGAGUACCUGAGAUUGAAUUCAAGAGCCAGUACGUGGUAGGUUCUGUUUUCCAGAGUAACAACUUUGGAGAAUGGGUGGGAUAGGAUGCCCAAGACCCAAAUGGAAACCUUCACUCCUCUCACUUGUGAGGUGACAAAGGAAACACUGCCCCCCACUUUCUUGAGAGGCUGGCACUUCUGAACUAGAAGCAGCCAUUCUGCAUCUUGGGUUUUUGUUCUUGUAUAAAAUUUGUGGAAAGGAGGAAAUAUCUCGAGGCUGCUGUUGGUUUAUUGAACCAUCAAACUACAGUACUUUCCCCCUCAUAAUAACUUAUUCUAGGUUGCAUCAGGGAGCAGCCCUCCCCUCCAAGUUGUAUAAUCAGUGAAAGAUCAACAAGAGCCUUGGGAAGGUUAUAGGGGAGAGUAGGAAAGCCUUGACUCCAGAAUCAGGUGACUAAUGGUGAAAUCCCAGAUCAAUCAUUUACUAGAUUUAC
rnacentral:lncRNA from 1 species